rnacentral:lncRNA from 1 species
AGGGGAAGCAAAGAUGCAGGGAAAUAGUGGACUGGAAAGCCCUGAUUGCUGCUUGGACCUGUAGUGCAUUUUCCGUUGUUUGGAAUCCACACGUCAACGGCAAUCUCUGCAUCUGGUGUUAUUGUGCAAUAUGCAAGGGAAUGAAACUUACAACAAUGACUCGAGUAUGCGGUGACGCGCCAAUCCCUCCUUUUUUUAAAUCCCGCCCUAAUUGAUGGUGGGGCUUCCUUUCUUACGAGGACG